GGUGAGUAACACGUAAACAACCUGCCUUCAGGAUGGGGACAACAGACGGAAACGACUGCUAAUACCGAAUACGUUCCACGGGCCGCAUGACCUGUGGAAGAAAGGGUAGCCUCUACCUGUAAGCUAUCGCCUGAAGAGGGGUUUGCGUCUGAUUAGGCAGUUGGUGGGGUAACGGCCCACCAAACCAACGAUCAGUAGCCGGUCUGAGAGGAUGAACGGCCACACUGGAACUGAGACACGGUCCAGACUCC
rnacentral:rRNA from 1 species